AUGGGUUUUAUAAUUCUUCCACUUAUGAUAUAAUCUCUGCCUCUUCAGAAUCAGGGUAAAGGAAAGUACCUUUAGAUAAGGCUCUCAUUACUUUUUGUAUAGAAUAUGGCAACACCUUUCUGACUCUGUGUAUCCAUUUUCUCCUCUGUGUCCAUCCGCCUCUCUGGACUUUCCCUGCAGUAACUAUUUAGGGGGAAAAAAUCUGGCAAACCAUUUCGUCAUCUAGCAUAUUACGAAUGGCUCCAGAUUACUAUAAAAUUACAUGCACAAUUCUGUUUUCUUUAACAGGUACUUAAUGAACUUGCCUUGGUCUAUCUUUCUAUCCUGUGCUGCCAACAUUCUCAUGGUGAAACCCUGCAUAUCUCUCCUCCCAUGUCUCAUUCACAGAAGCAUUUUUUCUUAAAUCCCUCGAUCCUGUUUAUUAAAGCAUCAUCAUCCCAAUUACU
rnacentral:lncRNA from 1 species